ensembl:lncRNA
GCUACUUAAAGGAUUAAAUCACCCAAAAAUGGAACACAAACAUGUUAGGCUCAAUAACAACCUCGGUUCACUUUCAGUGAGGCUUAUGGAAAAACUAUGAAAGUGAGGUGACUGAAGCUAUGGUUUGAAACAAACCUCAAGCCUUAUCCACUGGAUGAUGUGGCCUUAGACAGUCUACAAGUUUGCCAUUAUAUUACAAAGAUUGAAAAGUUGGAAAGGACAAUCAGCGGUUUUAGAUGUGACCUAGUCUCAGCCUCAGAUAUCACGCCCACG